UUGUUAGUGUGCCUUGUAAAUAUGUGAUUCUUAAACUUGUUUACAAAGUGCACUAGAGCCA
rnacentral:pre_miRNA from 1 species